AGCGAACGCUGGCGGCAGGCUUAACACAUGCAAGUCGAGCGCCCCGCAAGGGGAGCGGCAGACGGGAGAGUAACACGUGGGGACAUACCUUUUGGUUCGGAACAACUGAGGGAAACUUCAGCUAAUACCGGAUAAGCCCUUACGGGGAAAGAUUUAUCGCCGAAAGAUUGGCCCGCGUCUGAUUAGCUAGUUGGUGAGGUAACGGCUCACCAAGGCGACGAUCAGUAGCUGGUCUGAGAGGAUGAUCAGCCUCAUUGGGACUGAGACACGGCCCAAACUCCUACGGGAGGCAGCAGUGGGGAAUAUUGGACAAUGGGCGCAAGCCUGAUCCAGCCAUGCCGCGUGAGUGAUGAAGGCCUUAGGGUUGUAAAGCUCUUUUAACGGGGAAGAUAAUGACGGUACCCGUAGAAUAAGCCCCGGCUAACUCCGUGCCAGCAGCCGCGGUAAU
rnacentral:rRNA from 1 species